UGGGGGAUUUUGCACAAUGGGCGCAAGCCUGAUGCAGCGACGCCGCGUGAGGGAUGAAGGCCUUCGGGUUGUAAACCUCUUUCGCUGGGUUGAAAGGCCAUGCUUUGGGUGUGGUUGAUUUGAACUGGUAAAGAAGUACCGGCUAACUACGUGCCAGCAGCCGCGGUAAUACGUAUGGAGCGAGCGUUGUCCGGAAUUAUUGGGCGUAAAGGGUGCGCAGGCGGCUUUACAAGUUGGAUGUGAAAUAUUGUGGCUCAACCACAAACGUGCAUCCAAAACUGCAAAGCUUGAGUUAAGGAGAGGUAAGUGGAAUUCCUGGUGUAGCGGUGGAAUGCGUAGAUAUCAGGAGGAAUACCGGUGGCGAAGGCGACUUACUGGACUUAAACUGACGCUCAGGCACGAAAGCGUGGGGAGCAAACAGG
rnacentral:rRNA from 1 species